CGGCCGGGGGGCUUCAGAAUAAAAACUAGAACAACAUGGAAAGGUUGGCCAUAGAGGGUGAUAGCCCCUUAUAGGUAAAAAGUUUUGGAGUCCUUGAGUAAGGCGGGACACGUGAAAUCCUGUUUGAACAUAGGGGGACCACCCUCUAAGCCUAAGUACUCUCUAGUGACCGAUAGUGAACAAGUACCGUGAGGGAAAGGUGAAAAGAACCCCGACAAGGGGAGUGAAAUAGACCUGAAACCGAAUGCUUACAAGCAGUCGGAGCAGACAUUUAUGUUCUGUGACGGCGUACCUUUUGUAUAAUGGGUCAGCGACUUAGUUUAUCUAGCAAGCUUAAGCCGUUAGGUGUAGGCGUAGCGAAAGCGAGUCUGAAUAGGGCGAUUUUAGUUAGAUGAAUUAGACCCGAAACCGAGUGAUCUAGCCAUGGCCAGGUUGAAGGUGGAGUAAUAUCCGCUGAAGGACCGAACCCACUACUGUUGAAAAAGUAGGGGAUGAGCUGUGGCUAGGGGUGAAAGGCUAAUCAAACUCGGAUAUAGCUGGUUCUCCGCGAAAUCUAUUUAGGUAGAGCGUUAUAGCGAUUACCGUCGAAGGUAGAGCACUGGAUGAGCUAGGGGGUCCUACAGACUUACCAAACUCAACCAAACUCCGAAUGUCGACGAGUACAGCAUAGCAGACAGACUGUGGGUGCUAAGGUCCAUAGUCGAGAGGGAAAAAGCCCAGACCGCCAUCUAAGGUCCCUAAAUCAUGACUAAGUGUUAAAGGAUGUGGGAAAACCAAAACAACUAGGAUGUUGGCUUAGAAGCAGCCAUCAUUUAAAGAAAGCGUAAUAGCUCACUAGUCUAAAUAAGUUUUCCUGCGCCAACAAUGUAACGGGGCUCAAGUCAUGUACCGAAGAUGCGGAUUUGCACUUUAAUAGUGCAGAUGGUAGCGGAGCGUUCCGUAAGCCUGUGAAGGUGAACUGUGAAGUUUGCUGGAGGUAUCGGAAGUGAGAAUGCUGACAUAAGUAGCGAUAAAGAAUGUGAGAAACAUUCUCGCCGAAAGUCCAAGGGUUCCUGCGUAAAGUUAAUCUGCGCAGGCUUAGUCGGCUCCUAAGGUGAGGCUGAAAGGCGUAAUCGAUGGGAAUCAGGUUAAUAUUCCUGAACCUGAGGGAUGUGACGGAGAUAGUAAAUUGUAUACGCUUAUUGGAUUGCGUGUGCGGUGAAUAUCUUCCAGGAAAUAACACCCUCGUUAAAGACCGUACCCCAAACCGACACAGGUGGACAGGUAGAGUAUACCUAGGCGCUUGAGAGAACGAUGCUGAAGGAACUAGGCAAAUUGCAUCUGUAACUUCGGGAGAAGGAUGACCUGUGAAUGGGCAACCAUUUAUAGGUGGCACAAACUAGGGGGUAGCGACUGUUUAUUAAAAACACAGGGCUCUGCAAAGUCAAUAGACGAAGUAUAGGGUCUGACGCCUGCCCAGUGCUGGAAGAUUAAGAGGAGGGGUGCAAGCUCUGAAUUGAAGUCCCAGUGAACGGCGGCCGUAACAAUGACGGUCCUAAGGUAGCGAAAUUCCUUGUCGGGU
rnacentral:rRNA from 1 species